rnacentral:misc_RNA from 1 species
CGUUCAGGUAAACAAACAUGGCGAUGUGUAGGGGAUGUCUGCACGUUCAGCGAGACAAAAUGUUCUCAUUAAUCGGUACUUUAUCAUCCGUAUCAUAUUUCAAAUAUGCACCUAUAUCAAGAUUUCACCGUCCUAUGUUCACAGGAAAGCUAGAAGACGUGGCCCUUGGAACUAGUACAUUAACAAGAGUGUGUGGGCGGUUCACAAUGUUGAACAUUGUUAUGAAGUUAUGCAGUGUAAUAUUCGCCAAAUGUUGGAAUUGUGAGACGGAACUACCACCUUCCUCACCCUUCUGUGAGACAUGUAACACCCUGCAACCUUUAGACAAGAAGCUUGACUAUUUUAAAUUGAUGGGCAUUGAGAGAGUUUAUAAUAUUGAUACGCAAGUAUUAGCCAAGACUUUCAGGAAACUACAAGUUCAGUUUCACCCAGAUAAGUUUUCGCUAAAAGCAGAGAAAGAGCAUCAAAUGGCAAUGGAGCACUCAUCAGCAAUUAAUAAGGCAUAUCGUGUCUUGCAGCAUCCUGUGGAACGUGCUGUGUAUCUACUUGAUCUGGCGGGAGAACCACUCCAUGAAGGACAGCUAGUUAUGGACCAAGAAUUUUUAAUGGAAAUUAUGGAACUAAAUGAAGAGCUGGUCAAUGCAAAAGACAAAGAUACUGUGCAAGUCAUUGGUCAGCGCAACCAAAAAAUAUUAAGUGAACUGCUGAGAGAAGCAGAUGUUGCUUUUGCAAGGAAUGAUAUAGAAACAGCUAGAAAGGUGGUUGCCAAGAUAAAAUAUUAUUACAAUAUUUAUGAGAAGAUUCGGGACUAUGAGCGGGAACGUGGAAUCCUUGACUAGAUAGUUUUAGUCAACCUUUUCACUGCAGCACCCCAGAAGUGUUUUGCUCCAUUACAUUUUUAGUCUCUGGGGCGGGCGCUGCGGUAGAGAGCCUGGCCUGAGGACGGAGGCCGCACAGGUGGAUGACCCGCUGACUCUGAGGAUAACCAGACAAGGUGUUGGUGCCACAUGGAGGCCUCCCACUGACGCACGGGA